UACGUAGGGGCCGAGCGUUGUCCGGAGUUAUUUGGGCGUAAAGCGCGCGCAGGCGGCCUCGCGCGCCCGACGUGAAAGCCCCCGGCUUAACCGGGGAGGGUCGUUGGGGACGGCGGGGCUUGAGGGCGGGAGAGGUCGGUGGAAUUUCCCGGUGUAGUGGUGAAAUGCGUAGAGAUCGGGAGGAACACCUGUGGCGAAGGCGGCUCUCUGGGACGGUACUGACGCUGAGACGCGAAAGCGUGGGGAGCGAACAGG
rnacentral:rRNA from 1 species